rnacentral:rRNA from 1 species
AACGGAUAUCGUCGGCUCUCGCCACGAUGAAGAAUGUAGCGAAAUGCGAUACUUAGUGUGAAUUGCAGAAUCCCGUGAAUCAUCAAGUCUUUGAACGCAAGUUGCGCCCGAGGGCUCGGCCAAGGGCACGUCUGCUUGGGCGUCGC